rnacentral:lncRNA from 1 species
CAAAAUUGUCAAUUGACCCCUUAAGGGGUAAAUGUCCUUUAAUGACAAUUUUUCACAAUUUGUUCAUCAUAUUUGCUAACUUUAAAAAAUCUUCUCCUCUGAAACUACUGAAUGGAUUUGGAUGAAACUUAGCAUGAUAGUUCCUUAGAUUAUCCUGCACAAAGUGUGUGCUUCGAUUUUUGAUCCGUCAAAAAACAUGGCCGCCCUUACUUUAAAUAGAACAUAGGGGUCAAAUGACGAAGACUGGUGACCAACACUCAGUAGAUGACAGAGAGGAGGAGUCUGCCCUCAUUUAUAAAAACAGAAAAACAAAUGCCCCUUGUGGGAAUACUAUUGAAAAUGAGCCUGAGGAGUCUGUCCUCCCUAAAAAACAGAAAAACUGAGCAUGCCCCUUAUGGGAAAACUGAGCAGAUUGUACAUUUCACCUCUUGUAUUUUUUUCAAUUUUUUUUUAAUACUUUAUGCAUUAGGUCAACUAUAUUUGGUGUAUGAAAAUAUUUUAUGAUCUAUAUGUCGGUUACGCAGGUUUUAUUUGAACUUGACCUCAUUUUCACAG